rnacentral:rRNA from 1 species
CCUACGGGGGGCAGCAGUGGGGAAUAUUGCACAAUGGGGGAAACCCUGAUGCAGCGACGCCGCGUGAGUGAAGAAGUAUUUCGGUAUGUAAAGCUCUAUCAGCAGGGAAGAUAAUGACGGUACCUGAGUAAGAAGCCCCGGCUAACUACGUGCCAGCAGCCGCGGUAAUACGUAGGGGGCAAGCGUUAUCCGGAUUUACUGGGUGUAAAGGGAGCGUAGACGGCAUGGCAAGUCUGAAGUGAAAGCCCGGGGCUCAACCGCGGGACUGCUUUGGAAACUGUUAAGCUGGAGUGCAGGAGAGGUAA